GACGAACGCUGGCGGCGUGCUUAACACAUGCAAGUCGAACGGAAAGGCCCUGCUUGCAGGGUACUCGAGUGGCGAACGGGUGAGUAACACGUGGGUGAUCUGCCCUGCACUUCGGGAUAAGCCUGGGAAACUGGGUCUAAUACCGGAUAGGAGCCAUUUUUAGUGUGAUGGUUGGAAAGUUUUUUCGGUGUAGGAUGAGCUCGCGGCCUAUCAGCUUGUUGGUGCGGUAAUGGCCUACCAAGGCGGCGACGGGUAGCCGGCCUGAGAGGGUGGACGGCCACAUUGGGACUGAGAUACGGCCCAGACUCCUACGGGAGGCAGCAGUGGGGAAUAUUGCACAAUGGGCGCAAGCCUGAUGCAGCGACGCCGCGUGGGGGAUGACGGCCUUCGGGUUGUAAACUCCUUUCGCUAGGGACGAAGCUUUUUGUGACGGUACCUAGAUAAGAAGCACCGGCUAACUACGUG
rnacentral:rRNA from 1 species